rnacentral:rRNA from 2 species
UACAUAGGGAGCAAGCGUUAUCCGGAUUUACUGGGUGUAAAGGGUGCGUAGGCGGCUAAGCAAGUCAGAUGUGAAAUACACGGGCUCAACCCGUGAGCUGCAUUUGAAACUGUUUAGCUUGAGUGAAGUAGAGGCAGGCGGAAUUCCCGGUGUAGCGGUGAAAUGCGUAGAGAUCGGGAGGAACACCAGUGGCGAAGGCGGCCUGCUGGGCUUUAACUGACGCUGAGGCACGAAAGCGUGGGUAGCAAACAGG